rnacentral:rRNA from 1 species
CUACGGGAGGCUCCAGUGGGGAAUAUUGGACAAUGGGGGAAACCCUGAUCCAGCAAUGCCGCGUGUGUGAAGAAGGCCUGCGGGUUGUAAAGCACUUUCGGUUGGGAGGACUGCUUCUAGCACUAAUAUUGUUGGAAGUUGACGUUACCUUCAGAAGAAGCACCGGCUAACUCCGUGCCAGCAGCCGCGGUAAUACGGAGGGUGCAAGCGUUAAUCGGAAUUACUGGGCGUAAAGCGCGCGUAGGCGGCUAGAUCAGUCGGGUGUGAAAGCCCCGGGCUUAACCUGGGAACUGCAUCCGAUACUGGCUAGCUUGAGUACAGGAGAGGAGAGUGGAAUUCCACAUGUAGCGGUGAAAUGCGUAGAUAUGUGGAGGAACACCAAUGGCGAAGGCAGCUCUCUGGCCUGAUACUGACGCUGAGGUGCGAGAGCGUGGGGAGCAAACAGGAUUAGAUACCCCCGUAGUC